rnacentral:rRNA from 1 species
AACGAACGCUGGCGGCAUGCCUAACACAUGCAAGUCGAACGAGACCUUCGGGUCUAGUGGCGCACGGGUGCGUAACGCGUGGGAACCUGCCCUUAGGUUCGGAAUAACUCCCCGAAAGGGGUGCUAAUACCGGAUAAUGUCUUCGGACCAAAGAUUUAUCGCCUUUGGAUGGGCCCGCGUUGGAUUAGCUAGUUGGUAGGGUAAAAGCCUACCAAGGCGACGAUCCAUAGCUGGUCUGAGAGGAUGAUCAGCCACACUGGGACUGAGACACGGCCCAGACUCCUAUGGGAGGCGGCAGUGGGGAAUAUUGGACAAUGGGCGAAAGCCUGAUCCAGCAAUGCCGCGUGAGUGAUGAAGGCCUUAGGGUUGUAAAGCUCUUUUACCCGGGAUGAUAAUGACAGUACCGGGAGAAUAAGCUCCGGCUAACUCCGUG